rnacentral:misc_RNA from 1 species
AAAAAUGAUUCUUGGACCACCUUGAACCAAUUUCUGAAGUCAAAUUCUCUGCCCCUCAAAGUGCAUACAAAUCCUUGUCUGGCUCCUAGGGUAUUAACAUUUGCGAAAUUUAAUAUUUAAUUUUCAGGUUGAACAAUCAGAAGCAGAGAUAACCAAAGAAAAACCUGUAUCUCAGGACACUGGAUUAUCGACCAAUCACCUUAUCCUACGCAAGAAAGUAUUUGAAAAUAUUGUUAACCAGAGUUCUGGACCGACGGAUGUAACUUGCAUAUGGGACUAUGCCGGUCAGCUUGAUUAUUAUAUUACUCAUCGGUUUUUUCUUACAGACAGGACGUCUUAUGGAGUUGUUUUUAGUUUGCUAGAUGAUUUGGACGAAUUGGCAAAAUCACGAGAUCCUAAAAAAGGAUUUCUUGAGAUGACAAAUCUGCAAUCGAUCUUAUUUUGGAUAAGGUCAAUAUUUGAACACGCUGUACUGCUACAUGGCUCUGAAGCAAAGAAUGUGAUCAAUAGAAUGAUAGCAUCACCGACGAUUAGUCUGAUUGGGACGCACAAAGAUCUACUACAGGGCAGUGAUGCUGAGAAACAGGCAAAGAUUGAUGACAUAUUCGACAGAAUAUUAAAGGCAAUCGAAGGAGAACCAUAUGAACGUCACGUAGAUCGUGAGAGGUAUGCCGUAGACAACACCACAGCACUGGAUGAAGGGAUUCAAAGACUGAAAAGAAACGUAGGCGGUUUCAUGAAAGCAAUGGCAAGAACUGUACCAAUUAAGUGGGUGGAAUUCCAAAUUAAGGUGCUAGAAAUUGGGAAAACAACCCUAGGCAUGUCCUUAGAUGAGAUCACUAAGAUUGCUGAUCAAUGUGGUAUAAAUGAAGACAAAGUCAUUCACGUCCUCAAUUACCUCAAUGAUAUUGGAGUCAUUCUGUACUCGGCCACUAACAAGAAGUUGAAGAACACUGUGAUUACUAAAAUCCAUGCGCUGAUUAAAAUCUUCAUGAAAAUCAUUACAGUUGUGGAACCCGAUGAUGUUGACAAGUAUCCAGUGAUGAUAAAGGAUUGGCGUAAAUUUUCUAAUGAAGGGAUUCUUACAAAACCGCUGGCAGAGCAUUUGUGGACAAGUGGACUUACUGUCAGUAAAAGUGAUGGAGAUGUUGAUAAAAUUGUUGAUUGUUCCAUUGAACUUAUGAAGAUGUUUGGUCUUCUCUUUGAAAAGAAUAAAUCAGAUGAUAGCACUCGACAAUUUGUCGUCCCUUCUCGGAUGAAGGCCAAUCCUAAUGAUAGAUUGGAAAUAAAGAAAGACGAUAAGCAGACAGUAUCCAUCUAUGUGACACCUAAAGACUUCCUUCCUGAUGCCGUCUACGAUGUCUUGGUCGUUAGAUUUGUAAGCCUGAGUCAGGAUAGAGGUUUUCGUGAAGACCCAAAGUUGUUUCAGAAUCAGGCUGAAAUAAAAUUUAGCGAUACGCAUUACCUGAAACUAGGUCGGAUAUCCAUUGAUAACAAACCAUCUUUGAUAAAGCUGGAAAUAUCAAAAAUGAAAGUGAAAAAAGCAGAGGGUGCAUACAAGCAAGUAUGUAAGCCAGAUCCUGACGUAUGCAUAAAGGUUUUGGAUUUUUUAAAGCAAUACCUAGAUGAGGUAUAUCCAUCUAAGAAAAUUCUCGGCUAUGCUUUGCAAAUUCUUUGCUUAGUCUGUUCAGAUGAUUGCAUGGAGAAACCACACUUUCAAGACCUAGAGAUCUGCUUAAAAGGAGACAACAUGACUUGUGAUAGAAAAGGUGAAUUUAUUGGAAGUGAAACAACUGAAAUUCAAAAGUUCUUUGUGGCAGAAAAGAAAAGAAAAAUUCCACCGUCAGACGAAUUUACAACGAAAAAGCUCAAGACAGGUGAACAAACAGCAAUAGAAGAAUUGUCAGCUAAGGAGUUCAAAGUGCUUAAAGCUGUUUUCUCACAAGGGUAUGAUAGUGACGAUAGUCUUAAUAUGUUAAAGGUGUUGUUCAGAGACAAGAUGGACAUUAACGAGCUGUCACUAGCAACUAAUGUAAUGGACUUGCUGAAUAAUUUGAUUAAACGUAAUCAUCUGAGUUUACAGAAUAUUGGACUUUUGUGUGACGUUAUUAGCGUAACUAAACAUUGGUAUCUUCCAACAAAGAUUAAAGAAAAAGUGCCAAAAUUCCCGGAUGUUAUGAAAGGAACCAUUUCAACAGAAUUCACAUCUCACAGACAAAAACUAAUGAACUUUGGAAUGUCACUGUCCAAAGCCGAUGUGACGAAGAUUGAUGGAUUGUAUAAUGAGCCCUAUAAGAAGGAUUAUACAGAUAGCUGGAGUAUGAUCAGCGAUCUAGAAAAGAGAUUGAUAAUCAGUGAAGAAAAUAUGGAGGAAUUCGCUGAUAUGAUGAAAAACCUUGGUCUUACUCUAGUUUAAAACAAACUAACAUAAGGUGAUUUGAUAGAGGAGUCAAAAAAGCGAUUUGGGAAAAGUAGAGAACUCCAGCUUAAACCGAAAAGGAAGACUCUGUUUUCAACCAUCAAAGAGUUUUGACCAGGUGCUGCGCACUAGCAUUCCUCGCCAUCUGACUUGUGAUGAAUCCAAAGAGUCAGUAGUCUGAAGAAAUUCAGCAGAGCUAGACUAAAUGCCACUCAACGUUAAUAUGCUUAGAUUGAGAAUGCAAGGUGCAAUUUACCAUAUUUGGCCUAGCGUCCAUAAAUGUUUAAUAUCAAAUAAGAAGUUAAUGUUGAUACAAGCGGGGAAGGCUUCGCCCCCGCCCCGUCGGGGAGUGCUGAAUCUACAACUGAGCUACAAGAACCAGUGCUGGGUUAAAAAUGGAUUCCUCAAGUUUAACAACAUGGCAAUGGCCUACAAAAGAUUUUAAAAAAAAUGAUUAUUAGAACAAACUUCGAAUAAGUUUCAAUUGUACACGUCGGAUAUGGCAAGCCUAGACGUCACAGAUUUAUGAAGAAUGAAGCAGGAGGCUGUAAUCUUAAAAUCCUUAAGUAAUUUUUUUUGGUUGACUUUUUAGUUUAAGUUAUCAAUUAUACAUGUCAGAUAUGGCAAGCCUAGAUGUUGCAUAUUUGUGUAAAAAGAUGGCCUUGGAUAGAUGUACAGUAUUAAGAAUAAUUCUUUUUUUUUUCAAUUGUUUGUACGCGUUGGAUAUGGCAAGCCUAGACGUUAGAGAUUUAUGUAAAAAGACGUCCUUGGAUGAAUGUACUAAUUUUUUACUUUGAUUUACGUUUCAAUCCUCCUUUUGCACUUGGUUACUUUGGGGAAGUAGUGAAGACAUUUCUAUGCGGUAUUAAAUCAAAACAUUGGAUACCGAAUAGUUAGGCUGUACUGCAAGUUUCUGUAAAGUAGUUAUUUUUUAUAAAAACUAAUUCAAAAAAUCAUUGUGUAUAGCUGACUUUCAUGCAAUAUUUUAUUGCUGUACAUUUUUAGAAAAGUUGAAUAAUGAAAUACCUUUGACAGGCAUGACUUUGUUCACUGUAAAUGUUUUAAUUGGCAUUAUAUUUUAAUUCCAAUAUUUUAUUGCUGUACAUUUUUAGAAAAGUUGAAUAAUGAAAUACCUUUGACAGGCAUGACUUUGUUCACUGUAAAUGUUUUAAUUGGCAUCAUAUUUUAAUUCCAAUAUUUUAUUGGUGAUCUGAUAGAAUCUUUUAAAUUAGUUUUGUUUGUAUUCUCUGUAAAGAUGUUUAGUACGGUACAGGAGAGCCACUUAAUACUGUAGUAACAAUCCUCCGGAAAUGAACAUCUUGUUUCCAUGUUUUCUCCUGUAUUGCUUUUACCUGGAUAUUGAAUACAUUAAAAAAAUUAGGAGGGAGCCCUAAAUUUGUCAAAAUUAAAAGUAAAUAGAGGAUAACAGAAUAUUACAUUCAAAUUUUGAGUCUGAAGUAUCAUUUUCGGCCAUCUACAAGUGAAAUAAACAUAAAAAGUUCCUACCUCAGCUCCAACCAGGAUGGGGAUGAGGUAACAUAAAUCCCCUAUCUGUAAAAUUUACUGUCUAUACCCCUCCUCUCCUGUCUAUGUCAAAUUACAAGAUCCGAGAUGUAAUUUGGCGAAUGAUCUAUCCAUAAUCUUAUUGGCAGAAUAUCAACCAUGAGUUGGAGUCACCCUAAAUUUUACACAUUAAAAAUUAAAUGGGGGAUGGGGUUAAACGAAAAUUGCCUUCAAAUUUUGAGUCUGAAAGGCCAUUUCCGGCCAUCUAGAAGUGGCAUAAUACUAAAAUGUUUGUACCUCAGCCCCAACAGUGGUGGGACUGAUGUGGUCUCUAUUUCGAAAUCCUGGAUUCGCCACGGCUUAAUGUUGUACUUUUGUGACGAAUCAUCUUCAUGGGAUAUGGACAAUGAGUAGGCCUAAUAUUUGGACAUGGGUGGUCCGUGAAGAUUUUGGCGUGCACAGAACCCAGAGGGGUUCGCGAAUGCAGAAAGGUUGGGAACCACUGUAUUAUGACGGUUAUGACAAGCAUAAAAUGGUAAAUGUAUUAAUCGUUUUGUUGAUCGUCGCUGCACACAAUCAAAUCGCCUUAAUUUAGAGUGGGUUAAGUUUUAGAAAUUAUGUAUUUUCUAGUGUUAACAUUCAGAAAUAUUUUAUGUGGUGCUAGACGUUUCUUUUGGCUAUGAGUAUGACUCAAUGAACGAGCCGUAAGAAUAAUUUUUAGGCCCAUGCCCGGGAUUUAUCAAUCUCAGCUUAGCAAAUGUCUAAGUCAAAGAUGUCUCAGUAAAAACAGUCGCCUAGCUGCCAUCUUUAAUUAACUUGAGAGUUCAAAACAACAACAAAGCAAGUACAUACAGAUCAGACGCAAAAGGUGGAUUGUAUGUGUUGGAUAUGCGUAGUCUAGACGUUACAGAUUUAUGUAAAGCAAAUGACCUUGGAUGGAUGUACUUAAGUACUUUUUUUUUGGUUUACUUUAUAGUAAAAGUUUCUAUUGUAUACGUCGGAAAUGGCAAGCCUAGACGUUACAAUUAAUUAAUUAUUCUUCAUGUGCUUGGAUGUGUGUACUUCAGAAUUUGUUGGUUUCAAUAUUGUACACGUCUGAUAU